rnacentral:rRNA from 1 species
GACGAACGCUGGCGGCGUGCUUAACACAUGCAAGUCGAACGGAAAGGCCCUGCUUUUGUGGGGUGCUCGAGCGGCGAACGGGUGAGUAACACGUGAGUAACCUGCCCUUGACUUUGGGAUAACUUCAGGAAACUGGGGCUAAUACCGGAUAGGAGCUCCUGCUGCAUGGUGGGGGUUGGAAAGUUUCGGCGGUUGGGGAUGGACUCGCGGCUUAUCAGCUUGUUGGUGGGGUAGUGGCUUACCAAGGCUUUGACGGGUAGCCGGCCUGAGAGGGUGACCGGCCACAUUGGGACUGAGAUACGGCCCAGACUCCUACGGGAGGCAGCAGUGGGGAAUAUUGCACAAUGGGCGGAAGCCUGAUGCAGCAACGCCGCGUGCGGGAUGACGGCCUUCGGGUUGUAAACCGCUUUCGCCUGUGACGAGGCGUGAGUGACGGUAAUGGGUAAAGAAGCACCGGCUAACUACGUG